CAAAACUUGGACUCAUUUUGCAAUGUCACAAGUCCAAUCAAUCUCAAAUCUCGAAAAGAUGGUGGAUCAACUAUCCUCUUUAAAUCCAAACCUUAGCAAUAACUGUUGAAAAAGGAAAAUUCCCAACUCAGUUGGUACCUAAUUUUAAAGGAAGUACAUGAAGUUGGUACAAAUUCACUCUAGUAGUAUGAAAAGGUUAAAGCCAUCGUGACCUUAUGAAAA
rnacentral:lncRNA from 1 species